GGAGGAAUGGCAGAGUGGUCGAUUGCGGCAGUCUUGAAAACUGUUGACUGUAACAGGUCCCGGGGUUCGAAUCCCUGUUCCUCCGCCG
rnacentral:tRNA from 2 species